rnacentral:lncRNA from 1 species
CCGCCCCCUCCAGGCCGGCGGGAACCCCAACCUGGCCGGUCCUCGCGGGGACACAGGUGUCCUGGGCAUCUCGGAAGCUGCCAGGCCGCCCCGCCUGCGGCCUUUGGGGGGGGGGGGGGCAGGGGCUUCCCAGACGAUUUCCAAGACGUGAAUAAUUCAUCAAUCCCAGACGGGAAAGAAACAUUUUUUAAAAGACGAAAACGAUCCAAUGGGCCUCAGAGACCCCUACGCAAUUGGCAAAGGCUGUUUUCGGAUUGAGCCCCCAGAGAACAGGCUGCCUCCACCUUGGUGUCCACGACCCGACGUCCCAGAACUUUCCGCAGGCUCCACUGCCACCCACCAAAUCGAGGGACUGCUUAAAGGGGAGGGGGACUCAGACACCCUCUCUAAUUCCCUUCCGGAUCUUCUGGGGAGCCCCCCCCCACAUCCCUCACCGCUCAGCGUCCCAGAGCAAGAGGAAGCUGGACGUUUGUCUUUCUGUCCGGUUCUUCCUGGGUCCUUCACAGCGCCAGCAACCCUACCUCCACCGAGUGGCCCAGCAUCACCACCUGCAGACGUCUACUUGGUCACUGGAGAGCACGGGGCUGUGCACAGGUUGCUCCAUCCUAGGUCCCCUGGGGAGGCCUCGGCAUCAACAGGCACCAGGAAGAUGCUAACUGGCCGCAUCCCUACCCGUCUGUACCUCCCCACCCCUGGGCUCUGGCUGUGGACCCAGGCUCACCCCUUCCCUCCCGACCCCCCACUCCCCAGAAUGCUCUGUUUUGACUCCCUUCCCAGUGCAGAGACAUUCCUUCAGUAAUCCGGGAGUGCUCCUGUGCUAAUGCACGUAAAUUGUAAUUAAUUUCUCUCUAAUUGAUGCGUGGGACUACCUAGGCCCUUCAUUUUCUUCCCUUCAAACCUUUAUAAAUAUAUGAUUUGACAGGUUAAUUUGAAAGCAAAAGUUAGAUUCUUUACAGCCAUCUAAGCAGAAGCCCCAGAACGCAAUUUGCUGUCUAGUUGUGUGAAGCAUAAUAAAAGGGUUG